rnacentral:rRNA from 1 species
GAUGAACGCUAGCGGCAGGCUUAACACAUGCAAGUCGAGGGGCAGCACGGGUAGCAAUACUUGGUGGCGACCGGCGCACGGGUGAGUAACGCGUAUGCAACCUACCUUUAACUGGGGGAUAGCCCAGGGAAACUUGGAUUAAUACCCCAUAACAUUAUGAGACUGCAUGGUUUUAUAAUUAAAGUUCCGGCGGUUAAAGAUGGGCAUGCGUGCCAUUAGUUAGUUGGUGAGGUAACGGCUCACCAAGACAGCGAUGGCUACGGGGUCUUAAAGGAUGGUCCCGCACACUGGUACUGAGACACGGACCAGACUCCUACGGGAGGCAGCAGUGAGGAAUAUUGGUCAAUGGGGGCAACCCUGAACCAGCCAUGCCGCGUGGAGGAAGACGGCCCUAUGGGUUGUAAACUCCUUUUGUACGGGAAUAAAAGCAGAUACGUGUAUCUGCCUGAAGGUACUGUACGAAUAAGCAUCGGCUAACUCCGUGCCAGCAGCCGCGGU